UCCAGAAGCACGUGGGCCACUGACUCGU
rnacentral:sRNA from 1 species